UUUUUUAUGAUUCUUUUGUUUGAAACAUUGCUUAUCCUUUUCAAGUUUUAUUUUUGAGAGUUAAGAAAACUGUUUUCUCUUAAGCUAUCUAUAGCUUUACAGUAAAAGCUAUAGACAAAGUAUAUUUCUGUGAAAAAAGUUGAAACAUUUACCUUUCUCUCUACCUGAUCCCUUCAGAAUUCAGAAAUUCUUCAUGAGUAUUCUUACUUUAUGGCUUUACAAUUAUUUCAUAAGUUCAGUAAGAACUCAUUCUCUUUUAUAACAAGACACAACUGGAAACACUGGUUAUUUUACCAAGGCUCUGACUGAAAUACAAUAUUUUUAGAUAUGAUCAGAUUGCUUUGAGGACUGAAGUUGACUUUUGUGGAGCUGAUAAAAUGUCCCUUGGAGAGACUGGCCUUGUACCUUGUCUACAUGAUUCCCUUACAAGCUUCCUGAUUUUGUGAUCGCUUGCCACUGGAUUACUAAUCUGAUUUCUCUCUCCAUAGCUACCAAUCCUACUUUAAUAUGUGAAACCUUUUGAAAAUAAAGCUUCAAACAGGAGACUAAAAAAUCAAUAUUUCACCCCAAAAUAUUGCUGAUCUAAAGAAGCAGCUCAAGUUCUAACUCCUUCCCCCAUCUCCCAGUCCUCUGUCCUCCCCAAAGCAUAGGAUAAAGCUGUUCUCUAAAAUUCCCUCAUCUAUCUAGAAACUGGACCUACCAAAGAGGAACACAAUUGCCUGCCUCGAAAUUUUAUUAACCAGAGAAGACUAAAAUUCAUAUCACAGAGGAAGAAUCCCAAACCAUUUCUUCUUUCUGCCCCAUUCCAAUUUCCAAAUGGUUAGUAAAUUUCCAAUUUACUAACCAUUGUCGGACCAUUAGGCCCAUUUAUUUCCACCUAAAAAUCAUUUAUUAUCCCUCAGAUUGCCACACUUCCCCCAUUUUCCCUUCCCCUGUGAAGAAGGGGCUAUAAGUAUCUGUACCCCAUUGGGUUAUUGGGCAAUCAUUCUCCUGCAACUCCC
rnacentral:lncRNA from 10 species